UACGAAGGGGGCUAGCGUUGUUCGGAAUCACUGGGCGUAAAGCGCACGCAGGCGGAUCGUUAAGUCAGGGGUGAAAUGCCGAGGCUCAACCUCGGAACUGCCUUUGAUACUGGCGAUCUUAGAGUCCGGGAGAGGUGAGUGGAACUCCGAGUGUAGAGGUGAAAUUCGUAGAUAUUCGGAAGAACACCAGUGGCGAAGGCAAUCCCCUGGGCCUGCACUGACGCUCAUGCACGAAAGCGUGGGGAGCAAACAGG
rnacentral:rRNA from 1 species